rnacentral:rRNA from 1 species
GAUCAUGGCUCAGGAUGAACGCUAGCUACAGGCUUAACACAUGCAAGUCGAGGGGCAGCAUGAACUUAGCUUGCUAAGUUUGAUGGCGACCGGCGCACGGGUGAGUAACACGUAUCCAACCUGCCGAUGACUCGGGGAUAGCCUUUCGAAAGAAAGAUUAAUACCCGAUGGCAUAGUCUUCCGUCGAUGGUAGUAACUAUUAAAGAAAUUCGGUUCAUCGAUGGGAGUGCGUUCCU